UACGGAGGAUGCGAGCGUUAUCCGGAUUUAUUGGGUUUAAAGGGUGCGUAGGCGGGCUUUUAAGUCAGCGGUAAAAAUUCGGGGCUCAACCCCGUCGUGCCGUUGAAACUGAUGUUCUUGAGUGGGCGAGAAGUAUGCGGAAUGCGUGGUGUAGCGGUGAAAUGCAUAGAUAUCACGCAGAACACCGAUUGCGAAGGCAGCUUACCAAGCUACUUCUGACGUUGAGGCACGAAAGCGUGGGGAGCAAACAGG
rnacentral:rRNA from 1 species